rnacentral:rRNA from 1 species
CUUACCAUGCAGUCGAACGGUGAUGGAGAGCUUGCUCUUCGGAUCAGUGGCGAACGGGUGAGUAACACGUGAGUAACCUGCCCCUGACUCUGGGAUAAGCGUUGGAAACGACGUCUAAUACCGGAUAUGUCCUUCGAAGGCAUCUUCGUUGGUGGAAAGAAUUUCGGUUGGGGAUGGACUCGCGGCCUAUCAGCUUGUUGGUGAGGUAAUGGCUCACCAAGGCGACGACGGGUAGCCGGCCUGAGAGGGUGACCGGCCACACUGGGACUGAGACACGGCCCAGACUCCUACGGGAGGCAGCAGUGGGGAAUAUUGCACAAUGGGCGCAAGCCUGAUGCAGCAACGCCGCGUGAGGGACGACGGCCUUCGGGUUGUAAACCUCUUUUGGCAGGGAAGAAGCGAAAGUGACGGUACCUGCAGAAAAAGCACCGGCUAACUACGUGCCAGCAGCCGCGGUAAUACGUAGGGUGCAAGCGUUGUCCGGAAUUAUUGGGCGUAAAGAGCUCGUAGGCGGUUUGUCGCGUCUGCUGUGAAAACGCGAGGCUCAACCUCGCGCCUGCAGUGGGUACGGGCAGACUAGAGUGUGGUAGGGGAGAUUGGAAUUCCUGGUGUAGCGGGUGGAAUGCGCAGAUAUCAGGAGGAACACCGAUGGCGAAGGCAGAUCUCUGGGCCAUUACUGACGCUGAGGAGCGAAAGCGUGGGGAGCGAACAGGAUUAGAUACCCUGGUAGUCCACGCCGUAACGUUGGGAAACUAGAUGUGGGGGUCCAUCAACGGAAUCCGUGUCGCAGCUACGC